UCCUGGCUCAGGAUGAACGCUGGCGGCGUGCUUAACACAUGCAAGUCGAACGGGGUGCCUUUGACAGAGGAUUCGUCCAAUGGAUGAGGUUACCUAGUGGCGGACGGGUGAGUAACGCGUGAGUAACCUGCCCUGGAGUGGGGAAUAACAGCUGGAAACAGCUGCUAAUACCGCAUGAUGCAGUUGGGUCGCAUGGCUCUGACUGCCAAAGAUUUAUCGCUCUGGGAUGGACUCGCGUCUGAUUAGCUAGUUGGUGGGGCAACGGCCCACCAAGGCGACGAUCAGUAGCCGGACUGAGAGGUUGGCCGGCCACAUUGGGACUGAGACACGGCCCAGACUCCUACGGGAGGCAGCAGUGGGGAAUAUUGGGCAAUGGGCGCAAGCCUGACCCAGCAACGCCGCGUGAAGGAAGAAGGCUUUCGGGUUGUAAACUUCUUUUGUCAGGGACGAAGCAAAUGACGGUACCUGACGAAUAAGCCACGGCUAACUACGUG
rnacentral:rRNA from 1 species